rnacentral:lncRNA from 1 species
AGCAGUAAGUCAUUCAAAGAGGACUAUGAGCAGCUGCUCAAGGAUGCCCAAGACAUUCCCCAGCGAACCGGCUGCAUAGUCAACGCGCUUGCCAUCCACCCCAUCACCGGCAAGUGCCACGAGUCCGGGAAAAAGGACGCCAUGGUGAAGAUUGUCAAGAGCAUCAAGCCAUUCAAAGAGGACUAUGAGCAACUGCUCAAGGAUGCUCGGGACGUCCACCAACGACAUGGCUGCAUAGUUAACGUGCUUGCCGUCCACCCCAUCACAGGCGAGCGCCAUGAGGUCACCGUCGAUAGCACUAGCGACGGCGAUGUUUCUGCACCGAAUGAGGACCACUUCACUGCCCGUGUCGUGAGGAGGUACCUCCGUCUCAAGGGGCGGCUCGGUGAGGUGACUCUCCAGAUGCUAAGCGAGGAGUUUGGUGGUGCCAUGAGGCUCGCCGAUGUCAAGAAGCUCAUGUUCCGCGUCAGAGCAGUCAGGCUCGCUGUGCUCAGGUGGUCCAAGGCAGUAAGGAUGGCCACCUCGGCGGAGCUGCUGCCGGAGUUGGCUCGUGUAGGCUCUUUGUUCCGCGCCCCAGUAGCCAUGGUGGCACCGCUUGAGCAAGGGAUCAAGUUUGCAAGCCAUCUCAUCGCGCUCGGCUCGUUGAUCAUGAACCGGAGGGAGGAGAAGUCUGUCACGCUAAACAUGUUUGGUUAG